UAAGAAAACAUAUAAGACAUUAAUAAUCUGCUAGCAAUGGGAAGACAACCAUAACAACAAUGAACUGAAUUAAUCAGUGCACACGACUAGUUAAAAACAAACAUCCUUUGACAAGAAGUUUCUAAUUAAAUCAUGGCUGUGUCUGGGCAGCAUUAUUAUGAGAGUGAAGGUGGAUGUGCUGCUACUUCCCACUCCCCUUGAUGAGCAACAAGCACCUGCAUUGAGUAAUGCAAGAGUGAGAUGAAACAUCUCAGCAAGCUAAUUGUUCUGACGAGAUAUUUAAACCACAAAUUGAAUUCAUCAACAUUUUAAAAGAGUCACAAUAAAAAAAAACAGAAAUACUUGUAGAUAUAGAACUCAGUAGUCCCACUAUAACCAAUACCAUCUCAUUUCCUCGAACAACCACAAUAGGUUCUAUAACACUUCCCUGCGUCAACAAUACCUGCAAAUAUCACUUCAAUGUAUGCAUAGGAAUGCAAUGUGUAGGUACUCUAUCUUCAUACCUCUGGGGGUAUAAAACCACAUCAUCUGCAAAUAUCACUUCAAUGAAUGCAUAUGAAUGCAAUGCAUAUGUCCUCUGCCUUCAUACCUCUAAGGGUAUGAAGCCGCAUCGUACCCCUUCUCGGGCAACGUACGAUGCUAAGUUGUACCGGUACGGUCGGACCAUAGGUCACGACAAAACUUCAUAUGCAAAUGAGUCAUGCAAUGUAUAUGGCAUGCUACAUUUAUCAAUAAACUUCACUUCCUUCAGAUACAACACAAACCUCAAAUAAUACUUCAUUUACCUUCAGAUACAAUACCAACCUCAAAUAAUACUUCAUUUACCUUCAGAUAUGUGAAUUAAUCUCGUGAGUCAUACUCAAAUCAUAAUCAUCAUCAAUAUAUGAUUGAGCAUCAGUAUAAUGCAAGCAAGUAAAGCAUCACUAUAGAGUCCAAUUAUGAAAGAAUCUGAUACUUCUGAAUAUUAGAGUGUAGGCAAUAGGAAUAACAGGUCAGAACGGAAGCAACCACCGCUGCAUUCACUUGCCUUCAUCGAAGAAGAAGAAAUGUACUAGACAUGAUCUGGAGUGUAGCCACCUAGGGUUUCCCCAAGAAAUCUUCAAGAAGAGAUGGGGAAGAACAUCUCCUUGAUCCUCUCUUCCUCUUCAAUUCAACGUGCCCCUCCUUUUCUCGAUCCUUGCUGCGUAGGGGAAGAUCUUGGGGAAGGAAGCAAUGGAUGAUGGCUGCCAUAGGGGGAGGGGGCGUCCAGCCAAGGGGGAGAAAAGGGGGUGGCGGCCAAGAGGGGGUGAAGGGAAAAAAAAGGGUUGGCCACCUAGGGUUUUUGUGGGAGAAAGAAACGACGCCUCAGAUGACUUCUAUCUUUGCAUCCAAUGGCCCACAACCCUUUACCUCAUCCACACACCAGAGAUUAACUUUUGGUCAACAUUUUUUUGGGAUAUUACACUCUACCCCCCUUAAAAAGAAUUCGACCUCGAAUUCGGCCACUCCAAGAAAAACACCCAAGGUACCCCAUAUAGCACCACAAUUCAAAACAUGGAUCCAUUAUUGGUCUUAAUUAACACAAGAACUUCUACCUUGGACUAAUUGUCUAAGGAAACUACACGACCUGACAUCAAGCAUGAAACAACAUGUAAUGAAGCUCAAAGCAUGUCAUAGUUGCAAUCAACACUACAAUUUCACACCAUCAAAUUUGGAUGCAGCUAUACAUCAACAUCAAUGUCUUAAGACAACACUCUUUUAUGAAGGGGUAAUAUGGACCAAGCACAACCCUUACCAACUUCAACCAUUAAUUUUAAUUAAAUGGUGAAACAUCUACACCCGACGAAUGUAUAAGAAGAUCAAACACCUCACCUUAAAGCACCAUGAAACAAGUAGUUCUAUUGGAACAAAACUCCUAAUCUUCCUAAACCUUAUUCUUGCCAUCAUGAAAAGAUAAUCAUGUAAUCUAACAUUCCUUGCACCCCACCAAAAGGGAGAAAAUCUAUAGAACUAAUGGAGCAAUAAAGCCAAAAGAAGCCAAUAACAUCUUGUGCGGCAUAGUUCAUCGAAGAAAUGCCAAAAAAACUCUACAUAGAGCACUGAUAGCCCAACAACAACACAAUACUUGCUUAACCCAUGUCACUAUACUUCAUUCAACAUCUCAACUAAGAAAAAUAUCCAACUAGUAAGGAUAACCUACACAUAAUAUAAGUCUUCAUCUACUGUAGUUCAGAAACUUACAUUUCAUUCUAUCAUACGAUGCACUCAAAGUACCAGACAUACAAAGUCAAUAAUAAUAACCCCUAAUCCUUCACACAUUUGACAAACAUAUUAAGCUGAUGUAAACACCACAUCAUCUAGGAGUAGGUGACUAGCCACACCCAACCAACUCUAGGCUAGGCAAGGACUUCCUUCAAACCAAUAGAUAGGUGGUCUAAAAAAAUGGCUCCACAAGCAUGCAUCGAAAAGGGAACCAUCAGAUCCCCAAUGUAUCAAUACAUAAUCAAUGGAUCAAGAGAAUCAAAGAUUUAUUCUACAAUUAGUAUGACUAACAGGCAACCACUUUAAACCACAUCUAGGCUUUGUGGCAACUAGAACACACAAUAUGAGAGAGACAUGUAAGCCAUUCUGGCUAUGAAAAGACUUCCCCCAAAAAUCCAUAUAAAGUACCAAUAUUCAUUUCUUUCAAAACUGGUUUCUCAACAUAAACAAUCAUUCUUUGCAAUGAUAGUUGGAGCUAUCCACCAACCGCUCAACAACUUAAAUUCAAAUUGAUGAUUACCUUGUACCCCAAAACACGCAAUUCACACUCCUCUUAGAAACAUCCACAAUCAAGCAUAUAUAACAAUAUUAUUGUAAUAAAACUCAACCAUGAAAAACAUGGUGAAAACAACAUAGGCAUACUUGUAUAUCACAAGCAUAAUAACAACUUCAUUCUCACCAAUGACCAGCGAUAUCUACCGCAUUAAUAAAACAAUAUCAAAAUUUCAUAAAUAAAUUAUAUCAAGCAUUAAGCCAUAAACAACUUACCACAUCACCGUAAAGGAAUAGGGAGGGGUGAAACUAUUGUCAUCUGCACUCCAAAGACAUUAAUAUAUAUCAAAGAUAUUUGAACCCAUACCCUUCCUAUAUGUGCAAGUGUGUCAAAUUUAUCUUCAAAUUGCCAAGAAUCUAAAGCCUAUGCUUUGAUACCAACUGUAACACCCCGGGAUCCACAAACACCCCAGGAUGCUACUAAACUACACAUCUAACAUUCAUAUAUAAAAUUUCGACAGCAUCUCCUUUGAAAAUUGCAUAAACGGGGGAAGCAACAAAGUAUAAAUAGAUAUCAUGAUAAGAAAACAUAUAAGACAUUAAUAAUCUGCUAGCAAUGGGAAGACAACCAUAACAACAAUGAACUGAAUUAAUCAGUGCACACGACUAGUUAAAAACAAACAUCCUUUGACAAGAAGUUUCUAAUUAAAUCAUGGCUGUGUCUGGGCAGCAUUAUUAUGAGAGUGAAGGUGGAUGUGCUGCUACUUCCCACUCCCCUUGAUGAGCAACAAGC
rnacentral:lncRNA from 1 species